UCCCUUGUAGCUCAGUUGGUAAAGAAUCUGCCUGCAAUGCAGAAGACCUGGGUUUGAUCCCUGUGUUGGGA
rnacentral:tRNA from 1 species